AGUUGGUGGAGUGAUUUGUCUGGUUAAUUCCGUUAACGAACGAGACCCCCGCCUGCUAAAUAGUGUGGCUUACGCUUUUGCGUAGGUGCUCGCUUCUUAGAGGGACUUCUGGUGACUAACCAGAGGAAGUUGGGGGCAAUAACAGGU
rnacentral:rRNA from 1 species